rnacentral:rRNA from 1 species
CCUACGGGGGGCUGCAGUGAGGAAUAUUGGUCAAUGGACGAGAGUCUGAACCAGCCAAGUAGCGUGCAGGAUGACUGCCCUAUGGGUUGUAAACUUCUUUUAUAUGGGGAUAAAACGCUUCACGUGUGGGGUUUUGUAUGUACCGUAUGAAUAAGGAUCGGCUAACUCCGUGCCAGCAGCCGCGGUAAUACGGAGGAUCCGAGCGUUAUCCGGAUUUAUUGGGUUUAAAGGGAGCGUAGGUGGAUUGUUAAGUCAGUUGUGAAAGUUUGCGGCUCAACCGUAAAAUUGCAGUUGAAACUGGCAGGCUUGAGUACAGGAGAGGUGUGCGGAAUUCGUGGUGUAGCGGUGAAAUGCUUAGAUAUCACGAAGAACUCCGAUUGCGAAGGCAGUACACGGGACUGCAACUGACACUGAGGCUCGAAAGUGUGGGUAUCAAACAGGAUUAGAUACCCCGGUAGUC